UCCCAUUGGUCGAGCUAGUCCCUUCCUCAAUUCCUGAUAGUGUACAAGUACCGUGAGGGAAAGGUGAAAAUAACCCUAAAAAGGGAGUGAAAUAGAAACCCUGAAAUCCGAUGCAAACAAUCAGUCAAUUGACUCAAACAAUGUACCUUUUUCAUAAUGGGUCAGCUAGUAAGCAAUAAUAGUAGCUUAACCCAUUAGGUGUAGGUGACGCUAUUGUUACCAGACCUGAAACUGACAUAGGUGAACUAUUUUAGUCUCCUAGGGCGCUUGAGAUAACUAUGUCGAAGUUUUCCAAAAUGACCCCGUAACUUCGGGAGAAGGGGUGCUCUUCCAUCUAUGCAUUAGGAGAGAGACACAUACUAGAGGGUAGCAAUUGUUUAUUAUAAAAAUACAUGACUCUGCUAAGUGGAAACACAAUGUAUAGAGUCUGACAUCUGCCUGGUACUGGACUAAGUAUAGCUUCGAAUCGAAGCUCCAGUCAACUAAGCAAUAACUAUAACUGUCCCAAGGUAGCGAAAUCGCUUGUCGCAUAAGUAGCAACUUACAUGAAUGGUAUAACGACUACCCUAUUGUUUUCGACAUGGACUCAGUGAAAUUG
rnacentral:ncRNA from 1 species